AUUUAAAUAGCUUAAAUUAAAGCAUGAUAUUGAAGAUAUCAAGAUAAUUUUAAUAUUUUUAAAUA
rnacentral:tRNA from 1 species